ACUAACAGUCACGAAAACAACUUUUAACUGUUCAUCCAGGUGUCAACUAUAAUGCACACCUUUUAUAUUUUUUGAUAAUUAUUAAAAUAAACUGUAAAUCAUGUGGAAAACAAUUGCUACUUUUCAUUACCGAAUGGACUUAAAUACAAAUUGAAAGCUCAAUAACAUUUGAACAGAAUGAUUCACUUUCAUAAAACAUACUGUAAAGUGUUCAUCUAGGUGUCAGCUAUAAUGCACACCUUUUAUAUUUUUCAUAAUUAUUCAAAUAGACUGUAAAUCAUGUGUAAAAUAUUGCUACUUUUCAUUACCGAAUGGGCUUAAAUACAAAUUUAAAGCUCAAUAAAAAUUGAACAGAAUGACUCACAUUCAUAAAACAUACUGUAAAGUGUUCAUCUAGGUGUCAGCUAUAAUGCACACCUUUUAUAUUUUUCAUAAUUAUUCAAAUAGACUGUAAAUCAUGUGUAAAAUAUUGCUACUUUUCAUUACCGAAUGGGCUUAAAUACAAAUUUAAAGCUCAAUAAAAAUUGAACAGGAUGACUAACUUU